UCUGGGCAAGUGGGUGCCUUUGCCUCUCCCUGCUGCCCCCGCACAGGGUUUCUCCAGGCUGUCUUGUCACCCACCUCUAUUUGGUUGGGGCCACAUUUACCAGGGAUCCCCACUAUCCCAAAACUCCUCUUGAACACAUUGUCUGUCCAGGAGGGGCCUGUCGAGCUGCAGUUUAUGUUCUAUAGGUUCAGGCAGCUGCUGCUAAAGUGACAAGGUGACUCUCUGACCUGGUUUGCUGAGAUAGUCGCGGAUGACACCUCUUUUCCUGGCUUAAUGGUUACAACUCCCACCCCACCAAAGUGUCUCAGUUUGGACAAUAACCACAGUUAUUAUCCUUGGGAAAGGACAUUUGGGCUCUGACAUCUGGCCUGGCUGAAUCACCUCCUCCCUGUUGGAGGGGGUCAGGGGUCAGGGUUGCUUCCCUGGAGCUCUGGAAAGACCAGUGAAGGUGAGGGAGGUGUGACAGUAGAAACUGCUGCGAAGAGCAGACUCCUCUGUCCAUGGGCAGGGACCUCAAAGGCUUUCACUUCACACCCACCUCCAUCAACGUCAAUGGUCACCAAGGUCCUGAAGCCUUCCUGAAUUUCUUCCUGCAUUUCUCCAACCAGAGCAAUUCUCUUUCUUUGAGUCCUCAAGUCCACACUGAGCUUCUUUCUCCUCCCUUAGUACAUUCCUUCUCCUGAGAGACAGGUUAACAUGCAGCAGCUCUGUGACCUUGGGCCUCAGUUUCCCCAUCUGCAAAAUGAGGAGGGUCAUAGUGCCUGUCUCAUAGAGUCAUGAAGAGGAUAAAGUGAAUGAAUACAUGUGAUGUGCUGGGAGCAGCUUCGGACACAUGGAAAUGUUCGCUAUCAUUUUAAGCACUGAAUCUUAGAUUGUAAGCAUCUUUCCUUUAAAAGAGCAAAGUUCAAAGUUAUAUGUUGAGUAAUGACCAUAUGCCAGGUGCUUUCACACCCACAUCAAUGCUCCAGACUCCAAGAGCUGGCGGUCAUUGGAUCCAGUUCAUAGGGUGGAGAAGAGGAGGUUCAGAGUGGUGAACUAACGGGCCCAGGUCACACAGCAGAACAGUGAAAAGGUCAUGGAUGGCUUAAAAUACCAGCCCUUCCUUCACCCUCCUUCAGCCUCUUUCUCUCUCUCUCUCUCUCUCUCUCACACACACACACACACACACACUCCCUUCAUAAAAAUCUCACAAUGGCAAGUGUCUUAUAUGAGACACACAGAGGAGAAGAUCCUGUGAAGAGGGAGGCAGAGAUUGGAGAAUCACAGCCACAAGUCAAGGAAGGCCGACAACCACCAGAAGCUGGAAGGGGUAAGAGCAGCUUCCCCGCGCUGUUUCUAGAGGGUGCAUGGCCCUGCCAGUACCUUGAUUUUGGACUUCUGGCUUCCACAGUUGUGAGAUAAUACACUUUCCUUGUUUUACGUCAACAUUUUGUGUAAUUUGUCUCGGCUGCCACAGAAAGUGAAUAGAAAUAGUUUUCCCUCAGCGCAACCUGGUGAUGCACGUGUUCACUUUGAAAACACGUCAUUUCCACCUGCAAAGGUUUUAGGUUCCUCAAAGGGACUGUGCAGAGGGAUCGCUGCAAGUGAAGUCAACAUUUGGCCUCAUUCUGUUAGAACACCUGCAAGAGGAGGCUCAGGUGCUGACUGAACAAAUCCCCUGGCUCUUGGGGUGGUCCAUGCCUUUACCGAAUGCCUCCUUUGUUGGGGUCAUUCUGCUGGGAAGACAUUCCCAUUGGAAGAUACUGGACCUUUCCUUUACCAUGUCAGGCAUGACACUCCUACGUUAAAAAACUGUCCAUACCAAGGGCAUGACAGGCAAUUCAUAGAAGAAAGCAGGAUGAUCAAUGGCCUAUGAAAGGAUCCUCAGCUGUGGCUAGGCGCAGUGGCUCACCUCUGUAAUCCCAGCACUUUGGGAGGCCAAGGCAAGAGGAUCACUUGAGCCCAGGCGUUCGAGACUGGCAUGGGAAACAUGGCAAAACCCCAUCUCUAUAAAAACUUAGCUGGGUGUGGUGGCAUGUGCCUGGAGUCCCAGCUACUCAGGAGGCUGAGGUGGGAAGAUCAUCUAAGCCCAGAAGGUUGAGACUGCAGUGAGCCACCAUCGUACCACUGCACUCCAGCCUGGAUGACAGAGUGAAACCCUGUCAAAAAAAAAAAAAAAAAAAUCCUCAGCUGUUCUAGAAUCAGAAGGCAAAUAAAAACCACAGUGAGACACCUUUCAAUUACAUCAGAUCACCUGAAAUCAAAAGUGUUUCACAACAGCACUGGUAAACAAUGUUUUUUGUUUGUUUGUUUUUUGAGAUGAAGUCUUGCUCUGUUGCCCAGGCUGGAGUGCAGUGGCACCGUCAUGGCUCACUGCAACCUGUGCCUCCCAGGUUCAAGCAAUUCUCCUGCUGCA
rnacentral:lncRNA from 1 species